CCACCUAGUGAAUGGAGGUCCUAAGCAGGCUCAUCUCUGAAUGGAAAAACACAGACGCGCUGUUUUGAAUCACUCUCCGUGUGUCUCAUUAGUUUACUAGCUCAUAAAUCAGUCUGUGAAUCCCCAAUCGGAAGUAAUUAUUCUGUCAAAGAUCAGCGCUCUUGGAUGUUACGUUAAAGUUAAUGGGAGAAAUGUCUUGUCACAUCGUGUGGACGAUUAACACUUGGAAAGAGGAAUAUAAACACUCGUUUUUUUCUGGAGCUAUAUCUUUUAUCAGAACGCGAAAACACAGUGGAACUGCAGUGUGUCCUUGUAAACGUGUACUCGGAAACAUGCAGAUUACAGUAUUUACAGAGCCGACCUUGAGGCACCCACUGAUGGAUAAUCUGUUUACCUAAAAACAGCCCACCACAAUCCAUGUUUACCAGCUGUGAAAGUGCAGGCCAAAAAUCUUCCUUCACCUGUGGGCCUCUACCCACAUGUAAAUAAGCACUUCAGGAGAAACCUGCCUGUGAUCUGCUAAGAUGCACAGAUUCAACUCUGGCCCAUUGUCAUCCCAACACCUCAUCUGCCAUCAGUUUCGUUUAGUGUCGGUCUAUUGCAAAAGUUCUUAUAAACUUUAAAUGAGACUUUGUGUUAAGCAGGGGUUUCCAAACUUUUCAUUCCACAACAUAUUAAGCCCAGGAUACACAGCAGGAUUUUUGCAAUCCAAUAAGACCUUAUCACACUGUGUGACAAGGAUUGUUUAAACUUCAGCAGUAGACUGUCGAUGAAGACACCUAUUGCAUCUGAAGCUGCGACAUCUGUCAUCAACAUGCGCUAGUGGUAAACAAAUAAAGGUAUGCAGGUCGUAGAAGCAAACACAUUGUUGAUGUGCGAUGAUCAUGCUGAACUUCUUACACUGUCAUAAAACUAUCGUAGGUGUCUUUGGUCCCAGGACUGGGAAAACAGACGUCUUUAAACCUCUCACACUGUAUGAGAUAGGACCACCAAUUAAGAGCCACGAUCACAGAAAUCUCCACGAUUGUUUCACGAUUGGUAAUCUUUCAUCUGGGACAGCCAAAAAUCGUGCCGUGUAUUAUGGGCUUCAGACAGGUGUAAUCUUAUAGUAUAUCAAAACCAUUGCUAAUAAUUAAUUGGACAAACCAUCACUACAAUGCAACACUCACUAUCUUACGGUGUGACCCACAAGUGGGUCUUCACCCACAGUUUAAAAACCCUGAGUAUGAGAAAGAGUAUGUUGUAUUGUAAUUAAAGUCACAUCUAAGUGUUUUGGAACAGUUUGUCAUUAUAUUCACAGUAUUACAUGGUUCUUUCAGCAGUUACUACGUUACAGUGCUCUUAAAGUGUCCUGAUCAGCUUUGGGUCUUGUGAAGUAAUGUAAUGAGAACGUGAUCAAUAGCUUUGCAGUAUUUUGUUACACUGUGGCUGUAAUCAUAUUAACACAUAGGUUAAACCUUUUUUUUCAAAUU